rnacentral:rRNA from 1 species
UACGUAGGGUGCGAGCGUUGCCCGGAUUUAUUGGGCGUAAAGGGCGCGCAGGCGGCUACGCACCGUCCGUUGUGAAAUCGCUCGGCUCAACUGGGCGGGGUCAGCGGAUACGGCGUAGCUGGAGCAAGCUAGGGGGCAAUGGAAUUCCCGGUGUAGUGGUGGGAAUGCGUAGAUAUCGGGGAGGAACACCAGUGGCGAAGGCGGUUGCCUGGAGCUUUGCUGACGCUGAG